GCCGGGCGAAGCCCGCGGGGGCGGCCCGGGCUGCUCUCCGUGACUCUUCGCCGCCGCGCCGCGGCUUCUGCCGCCGUCACGACGGCGCCCGGGAGUUCUGUGGACUGUGCUCAGCCGUGUGGGCCUGUGGUUUGUCGGGAAUCACGUGCGGUCCCCGAGGUGCCGGGAGCCUCUGGGUUCUCGGCGAACUGCUUCGGAGCUUCCAGUGACGCGUCAGAACCGCAGCAGCGUGCUGAGUUGCAUCAAAAGCAGACCCCAAGUGAAGGCCAGGCUGAGCCUCACCACGAUGGGCUGGCGCCCAUGCGGCUGUACACGCUCUCCAAGCGCCACUUCGUCCUCGUGUUCGUCGUCUUCUUCGUCUGUUUCGGCCUGACCGUCUUCGUCGGGAUCAGAGGACCCAAAGUGAUCCAGACUUCUGCAGCUAAUUUUUCACUAAAUAAUAGCAAAGAGCUAAAGCCAGUUCAAAUACUUUCAAACCCGCUGUCCACGUAUAAUCAGCAACUGUGGCUGACAUGCGUUGUCGAGCUGGAGCAUUCGAAAGAAACAGCUAUUCAGACAAACUUCACCAUGACUGUUAAGGUCGAUGGUGUAGCUCAGGACGGGACCACCAUGUUCAUUCAUAAUAAAGUUCACAAUCGGACGAGGACCCUCACAUGUGCAGGGAAAUGUGCAGAAAUUAUUGUGGCUCACCUCAGCUACUUGAAUUACACUCAAUAUACAGUGACUGUGGGAUUCAAACACCUGAAGGAACGCAUCAAGGAAAUGAACUUCACCUGGAAGACUUACGACCCUGCAUUUUCCCACCUGGAAAUUUGGUUCCGAUUCGUCUUUGUGGUGCUUACCUUCAUUGUCACUUGCCUGUUUGCUCACUCCCUCCGGAAGUUUUCCAUGCGAGACUGGGGCAUCGAGCAGAAGUGGAUGUCCAUUCUCCUGCCUCUGCUGCUGCUUUACAACGGCCUGUCUGCCUUUUGCCUUGCAGACCCGUUCUUCCCCCUCUCCUUCCUGGUGAACAGCUGGUUCCCGGGGAUGCUGGACGACCUCUUCCAGUCUGUGUUCCUGUGCGCGCUGCUGCUCUUCUGGCUGUGCGUGUACCAUGGGAUCCGGGUGCAGGGAGAAAGGAAGUGCUUGACUUUCUAUUUGCCCAAAUGCUUCAUUGUUGGACUAUUGUGGUUGGCCUGUGUUACCCUCGGAAUAUGGCAGACAAUUAAUGAAUUACAUGAUCCAAUGUACCAGUAUCGAGUUGACACAGGAAAUUUUCAGGGAAUGAAGGUUUUCUUCAUGGUGGUGGCCGCCAUGUACAUCUUAUACCUUUUGUUCCUGAUCGUGCGGGCCUGCUCCGAGCUGCGUCACAUGCCUUAUGUAGAUCUCAGGUUGAAAUUUUUGACAGCAUUGACUUUUGUAGUGCUUGUCAUUAGCAUCGUCAUCCUUUAUUUAAGGUUCGGAGCACAAGUAUUACAAGACAACUUUGUAGCUGAACUGUCAACUCACUACCAGAAUUAUAUCCUUUCGUGGGAAGACGUCGGGCAUCAGGCACACACCCCGGUGGGGUGGGUAGCGUUGCAGGCCUGUGAAAGUCAGGAAGAGGCAUGCCCUGGGGGCCUCACCCCCGUCCGUGUGAAUGAGAGGCCCAGGGGCCCCAGCGCCUGCCCCCACCCUCCACGCCCCACUCUCCUCUCUGUGGGGCAGGGACCGCAGCGGGUCCACUCACCAUCCAAGCCUCAGGUCAGGCCAGGGCUGCCCACCUCUCCCUUUCCCCAGAUGGCAUCCCUUACCGAGUCCCAGAUGUGUCCAGCUGCAGUUGACACCUGUGUCUCCGGGCAGGGCUUGUGAGCAGCGGGACCUCCUUCGAGUCCCUGAGGCCCCGCUGCCUUGGCAGUAGGCUCCUCUUUCGGGUGCAUAAUCGGGUCAAGUGUGUGCCUCCCACUCCCGCCUUCAGUGACGGCAUCCAUCAGGGGAAACCUUGGGGUUCAUCCCUCACGUCUUGGCUUCUUUCCGUGGGGCCUCUUCUCUUACUUACAUCCUUAGAAUCAAUGCAUGAUUUCUCACGUUUUUGUGACUGAAUUUCACACAAUGCUUUUAUCAGAUUCUCAAAGGGGCGUGUAAUUCAGAAAAGAUUAAAAAGGACUAGUUUGAGAGUCUGGAUCCAGUUCUUCCUUUUAUUCUUGACUCUCCUUCCUGCCCUUUGCCUGCGACUUGCUCUCAUCAGGUCCUGCCACCUCCAGAGGCGUCCAUGGAGAGGAGAGGGCGCGGCUCACCUGUGGUUUCCAGGUGCCCCUGGAAAGGCACUGUAACCUCUGGCGUGGGCCUGCCCCGUGGUGCCCGAGGUCUGGGUGUGGCCCCCGGGGUCCUGCCUGCUGCUUAGCAGUCACUGACAGUUGGGGGAGGGGCCGUCUGACGUGUCCAAAUAGACGGUGUCCCAGCUCUGCUGCUUCCCUUGACCAGAGUCACCAGCUGAGUUCUUAUCUUUCUACGGCCUGCUGAACUUUUACCUCUACACUUUGGCCUUUGUGUAUUCGCCCUCGAAGAACGCCCUGUACGAGUCACAGCUGAAGGACAAUCCCGCCUUCUCCAUGCUCAACGACUCGGACGACGAGGUGAUAUAUGG